rnacentral:tRNA from 1 species
GGGGAUGUGGCUCAGAGGUAGAGCGCUUGCCUAGUGUGUAUGAGGCACUGGGUUUGAUCCUCAGCACCACA